UACGAAGGGGGCUAGCGUUGCUCGGAAUUACUGGGCGUAAAGCGCACGUAGUCGGCUUUCUAAGUCGGGGGUGAAAUCCUGGAGCUCAACUCCAGAACUGCCUUCGAUACUGGAGAGCUUGAGUCCGGGAGAGGUGAGUGGAACUGCGAGUGUAGAGGUGAAAUUCGUAGAUAUUCGCAAGAACACCAGUGGCGAAGGCGGCUCACUGGCCCGGUACUGACGCUGAGGUGCGAAAGCGUGGGGAGCAAACAGG
rnacentral:rRNA from 1 species